UAAAGCCUGAUAUAGACAGUGAUGGUGUAGAGAUGACAGGUUAAAAGCCUGAUAUAGACAGUGAUGGUGUAGAGAUGACAGGAGCAGGUUAAAGCCUGAUAUAGACAGUGAUGGUGUAGAGAUGACAGGAGCAGGUUAAAGCCUGAUAUAGACAGUGAUGGUGUAGAGAUGACAGGUUAAAGCCUGAUAUAGACAGUGAUGGUGUAGAGAUGACAGGUUAAAGCCUGAUAUAGACAGUGAUGGUGUAGAGAUGACAGGAGCAGGUUAACAGCCUGAUAUAGACAGUGAUGGUGUAGAGAUGACAGGAGCAGGUUAAAGCCUGAUAUAGACAGUGAUGGUGUAGAGAUGACAGGAGCAGGUUAAAGCCUGAUAUAGACAGUGAUGGUGUAGAGAUGACAGGAGCAGGUUAAAGCCUGAUAU